rnacentral:rRNA from 1 species
AUUGAACGCUGGCGGCAGGCCUAACACAUGCAAGUCGAACGAGUGGCGGACGGGUGAGUAAUGUCUGGGAAACUGCCUGAUGGAGGGGGAUAACUACUGGACACGGUAGAUAAUAACGAAUACCAUCGGAUGUGCCCAGAUGGGAUUAUGUAGAAGGUGGGUUAACGGCGCACCUAGUCGACGCUCCAUAGCUGGUCUGAGAGGAUGACCAGCCACACUGGCACUGAGACACUGUCCAUCCUCCUACGGGAGGCAGCAGUGGGGAAUAUUGCACAAUGGGCGCAAGCCUGAUGCAGCCAUGCCGCUUGUAUGAAGAAGUCCUUCGGGUUGUAAAGUACUUUCAGCGGGGAGGCGUUACCCGCAGAAGAAGCACCGGCUAACUCCGUGCCAGCAGCCGCGGUAAUUC